ACAAGAGCACAGAUGGCAUGUGGGAGAUUCCCAGGGAACAUCCAUCACUUGAUAUGACAUUGGAACCUUCUCUGCCUGGUGCUGGGACCUUCAUGUUCAUCUUUCAUGAAGCACAACUUAUGUACAAGGGAAUGUGUUUCUUGCAGGUGGUUUCUUCGUCUGUCUGUACAAGCUUACGCUGUGUUUGCAUUACUGAAGACCGAUUUGUCCUUCUUGUGAGCAAAAUCAGUCGUGUGUCAACCUAACAGUCAUAACUAGAUCAGUACCAGACUGAAGUAUUUUCCUCCUGGGUGGAUUUUCUACAGAAUUUGAGAUUCACUUCUGGGAAUGAACGCAUCUUUUCCAUAUAUAGCCUGGAUACAGAAAAGUUGUCUUGGCCAGAAUUUUUCAGAAUUUGAGCUCUUCGGUCUUUUGCUUUAUGGAAAGUCUUCAUCCUAGCAGAGGAUCUUGGUGGCAAGAUAUAAGCCUUAUUCGAUCGUGUAGGCCUCAAGGAAAUGAAGUACAAUAAUGUUGAUUUUCCUGUUUUUUUCAAUGUCUUUUCUGCUCUCCUAAGAAAGACUGUAAUAACCAUUAGACUUCAGCAUCACCAGAGUGCAAACUUCUCAGAAGCAUCUAAGUGUAGGUGUUUUUAUUUUUCCCCAUACAUUUGAUACUUUGCAGCUUUUCUGGUUGGCAGAAUGUGCCUGAAGUAUUCAAACUUCCGAAAGAACUCAACAAUUUGGUAACCUUAUUUUUGACUAGAAAUACUGGACUAGAAUCAAGGGGAUGCCAAGUCCUGGCUUCAUGCAGAAUUUCCAGUGAAUUCUGGAUGUGCAGUUUGCUAGA